GUAUGUGCCACCUGAUCUCACACGUGAAUACGCUCAGAAUCUUACGCAUAUCUUUUAGCAGAGGAAGAAAAGACUAACUAAGUAUUCCUCAUUAAUCAGCGGCGAGUAAAAA
rnacentral:rRNA from 1 species